GAUGAACGCUGGCGGCGUGCCUAAUACAUGCAAGUCGAGCGAACGGACGAGAAGCUUGCUUCUCUGAUGUUAGCGGCGGACGGGUGAGUAACACGUGGAUAACCUACCUAUAAGACUGGGAUAACUUCGGGAAACCGUAGCUAAUACCGGAUAAUAUUUUGAACCGCAUGGUUCAAAAGUGAAAGACGGUCUUGCUGUCACUUAUAGAUGGAUCCGCGCUGCAUUAGCUAGUUGGUAAGGUAACGGCUUACCAAGGCAACGAUGCAUAGCCGACCUGAGAGGGUGAUCGGCCACACUGGAACGGAGACACGGUCCAGACUCCUACGGGAGGCAGCAGUAGGGAAUCUUCCGCAAAGGGCGAAAGCCUGACGGAGCAACGCCGCGUGAGUGAUGAAGGUCUUCGGAUCGUAAAACUCUGUUAUUAGGGAAGAACAUAUGUGUAAGUAACUGUGCACAUCUUGACGGUACCUAAUCAGAAAGCCACGGCUAACUACGUG
rnacentral:rRNA from 1 species